UACGUAGGGGGCUAGCGUUGUCCGGAAUCAUUGGGCGUAAAGCGCGUGUAGGCGGCUCGGUAAGUCCGCUGUGAAAGUCGGGGGCUCAACCCUCGGAUGCCGGUGGAUACUGUCGGGCUAGAGUACGGAAGAGGCGAGUGGAAUUCCUGGUGUAGCGGUGGAAUGCGCAGAUAUCAGGAGGAACACCGAUAGCGAAGGCAGCUCGCUGGGACGGUACUGACGCUAAGGCGCGAAAGCGUGGGGAGCGAACAGG
rnacentral:rRNA from 1 species